rnacentral:rRNA from 1 species
UACGAAGGGGGCUAGCGUUGCUCGGAAUCACUGGGCGUAAAGGGUGCGUAGGCGGGUCUUUAAGUCAGGGGUGAAAUCCUGGAGCUCAACUCCAGAACUGCCUUUGAUACUGGAGAGCUUGAGUCCGGAAGAGGUGAGUGGAACUCCGAGUGUAGAGGUGAAAUUCGUAGAUAUUCGGAAGAACACCAGUGGCGAAGGCGACAUACUGGUCCGUUACUGACACUGAGGCUCGAAAGCGUGGGGAGCAAACAGG